rnacentral:rRNA from 1 species
AUUGAACGCUGGCGGCAUGCCUUACACAUUCAAGUCGAACGGUAACAGGUCUUCGGAUGCUGACGAGUGGCGAACGGGUGAGUAAUACAUCGGAACGUGCCUAGUAGUGGGGGAUAACUACUCGAAAGAGUGGCUAAUACCGCAUGAGAUCUACGGAUGAAAGCAGGGGAUCGCAAGACCUUGUGCUACUAGAGCGGCCGAUGGCAGAUUAGGUAGUUGGUGGGAUAAAAGCUUACCAAGCCGACGAUCUGUAGCUGGUCUGAGAGGACGAUCAGCCACACUGGGACUGUGACACGGCCCAGACCCCUACGGGAGGCAGCAGUGGGAAUUUUGGACAAUGGGCGCAAGCCUGAUUCAGCAAUGCCGCGUGCAGGAUGAAGGCCUUCGGGUUGUAAACUGCUUUUGUACGGAACGAAAAGCCCUGGGUUAAUACCCUGGGGUCAUGACGGUACCGUAAGAAUAAGCACCGGCUAACUACGUGCCAGCCGCCGCGGUAAAAC